UUUCCAAAUGAGUAUUUAUUCUAGGCCAGUACAGAUUUUACCAUUGGAAAUGCAGCUUAAUCCCCAAUCUUGUGGAGGGGUUUGAUUAGAAGCUUGUGGAACACGCCUGGUGAAGUCGUGUAACAGUUCAUGAAUUUGGACUUCGGUGGACAAGCUGCUCCCAGGGCACGUGCAUUACCUUGAAUUGACUUGCCUGGGCCAGGACAGGGGUCCCCAACCACAGGUUUCCCCAGCGCCUCUCCGCCUUCAACAGUUCCUCUCUUAGGUCAAGAGGCUGAUGAUUUCUCUGGGAAGCAACACAGCCCUCCUGUUCUUGGUGACAAUGUUGCUUGAAGCCGGUCCUGCAGGUCAACACACACGGGCAGGGAUGACGUUUGAUGAAUAAGCAGGGGUGAGAGUCGGCUAAAGGUCGCCAGCCUCAGGCCUGUACGCACGACCUUGUCCCUUGGACAUGAGACAGGAAGCUACAUCGUGAGACAAGCAACUCCAAGCACAUUCACUCACUCACUCAUUCAUUCAGCCACUCAUUCACUGACUCACUGACUCACUGACUCACUCACAUUGUCACCUCCAGCCUCGAACGUGCUGCUCUCUCUCCCUGCAACGGUGGUUCUCAAAGUGAGGCUCUGGACCCACAGCAUCAGCACAACUGGAAACUCAUUAGAAACGUGACUCAUACACUUAGGGGCUGAGGCCCAACCAUCUGUGUUUUGACGAGCCCUCUGGCAGCCUUGGAUGAACUGCCUGCUUCACCAGGGCUCUCCUCCUGGAUCCGGCCAGGACGGCCCCCGUGCUCCUUUUCCAUGACACCCGUCACUCCCGUGCCUGCUUGUCUCCCAAGGUAAGUGGCGAGGAAGGAGCCCACACCCAGCACGGCAGGAGCACAACAAACGUGGAAUGGAGGGAGAUACGCAUGGGUGAAAGGGUGAGAGAAUCCGGGCUGUACUGAGCCUUUCCCGGGGUCAGAGCCAGGGUUUUGAAUGUGAACAAGGCGCAGUUCAUACCGUCAGGUUGCUCUCCGUCCGCUGCGGGAGGCAGAGAAGGAUUGGAUGGGGCCCUCGUGGAACACGGGGCCAGGGCCGACGGCUGUGGGAGCACCAGCUGACCCUUCCGUGUCCAGUGAUGUGUGCGCGGUGCCCAGACAGGCACUUCUAACCGCUUUCGUCGGGCGAGCCAAAACAACCAUUCUGGCUGUUGGAAGGUGUCCAGUGACAUAAGGCUGCUCCAGCCCCGGCCUCUGUGGUCAUGCCGGGCUGCCAUUGUCACCAGGGCACAUGGCUUCUGUCCGUCCUCACUGCUCUUUGUUUUGAAGUCCAUGCUUGGAUGGAUGAUUCCCAGAGCAGCUCCGAUCCAGUGUAAACAGGCCUUGUCUGCCAUGACAAUCUGGAGAAGUGGCCUAAAAAUAGGCCAGGAGGCUUGACUCAUGGAGGGGGGAGCACUUGGGGUCCAGAAUUCCCCUCUCUGGAGAUGACUUAUUUGGGCUGGUGGAAGAGGAGGAAGGUGACUGUCAUGCAGUGACUCAUCUGGGAACCCUUGGAGGCCUUUGAUUCCUCCCGGGCAGCUGACCUCCUGGCCUCGGGACACAUCUCCAGACCCACAGAGGGGACGGUAGCAGGGGCCGUGGGAGGACACAAUCCAGGGUGGGAAAGGCCGGGCGCUGACACAUCCUCUCCCCUACUCUUCUGGGCCAUGAGAAACGGUCCUGCCUCCACAGCCAGAGACCAUCACGGUCUGGCCAGUACUUACUUACUCAGCCUCCUCACAUCCCGGAGUCCGUGCUUGUGUCUGUCCCAAGCUGCUGAGGCUGCAGUGAGCCGGUGCUCACCCCAGAGGGACAACCUCAUCAGAACACACCCUUCUCCCUUUGCUCCUUCAUGAAAUGAGACUCUCGAUGAAGCCAGUGACAUCACAUGGAGACCAUAUGUGUGGGAAUCGAGGGCAGAGUCUAGUCUUCUGGAAUGUGUAAACACCCUGGGUUUUUAAGGACGAGCUGCCAGACCCCGUGUGUCGGAGGCUCCUGCUUUCGGGCAAUGGCUGGCGUCCUGGCCGGGGAAACCAGGCUGACCCUUUUGGCAAGAUCCGACCAUCACUACGCUGCUGGGGACCCUGGCCUCAGUGCCACUGGCCACACUCGAAGUUCAGAUCCAUCUGUUAUGAACUGAGCCCUGGCCCCCCAAAAUGUGUCAAAAUCCUAAUUUCUAGAACCCCAGAAUGUGACCACAUUUGGAGCGACAUCGGGACACAGGCACGCACAGAAGGACGACCACGGGAGGUCAUGGGGAGGAGUGGCCAUCGGCAAGCCAAGGAGACAGGCCUGGGGAGGAACCAGCCCUGUCUGGUUCCACACCUUGAUCCCAGCUUUCAGGACUGGGAGAGAAUAAACAUCUGUGGUU